UACCAGCACCCCGAGUGGUCGGGACGAUUAUUGGGCCUAAAGCAUCCGUAGCCGGUCCUACAAGUCUUCCGUUAAAUCCACCUGCUCAACAGAUGGGCUGCGGAAGAUACUAUAGGGCUAGGAGGCGGGGAGAGGCAAGCGGUACUCAGUGGGUAGGGGUAAAAUCCUCUGAUCCAUUGAAGACCACCAGUGGCGAAGGCGGCUUGCCAGAACGCGCUCGACGGUGAGGGAUGAAAGCUGGGGGGAGCAAACAGG
rnacentral:rRNA from 1 species